UACAGAGGUCUCAAGCGUUGUUCGGAUUCACUGGGCGUAAAGGGUGCGUAGGUGGCAGGGCAAGUCUGACGUGAAAUCUCCGGGCUUAACCCGGAAAUGGCGUUGGAAACUGCCUUGCUAGAGGAUUGGAGGGGAGACUGGAAUACUUGGUGUAGCAGUGAAAUGCGUAGAUAUCAAGUGAAACAUCAGUGGCGAAGGCGAGUCUCUGGACAAUUCCUGACACUGAGACACGAAGGCCAGGGGAGCAAACGGG
rnacentral:rRNA from 1 species